rnacentral:rRNA from 1 species
AUUGAACGCUGGCGGCAGGCCUAACACAUGCAAGUCGAACGAGUGGCGGACGGGUGAGUAAUGUCUGAGAAACUGCCCGAUGGAGGGGGAUAACUACUGGAAACGGUAGCUAAUACCGCAUACCAUCGGAUGUGCCCAGAUGGGGUGAGCUUGUAGGUGAGGUAACGCCUCACCUAGGCGACGAGCCCUAGCUGGUCUGAGAGGAUGACCAGCCACACUGGAACUGAGACACGGUCCAGACGCCUACGUGAGGCAGCAGGGGGGAAUAUUGCACAAUGGGCGCAAGCCUGAUGCAGCCAGGCCGCGUGUAUGAAGAAGGCCUUCGGGUUGGAAAGUCCUUGCAGCGGGGAGGCGUUACCCGCCGAAGAAGCACCGGCUAACUCCGUGCCAGCCGCCGCGGUAAUUC